UGAAUACGAGACGCUAAGGCGUCGAAGUAGUGUAUGUCAUACUUCCAAGAAAAGCUUGCACUGUCAUAGAUAAAAAACGCCUGUACCAUAACCGACACAGGUGGGUAGGUAGAGUAUACUAAGGGGCGCGAGAUAACUCUCUCUAAGGAACUCGGCAAAAUAACUCCGUAACUUCGGGAGAAGGAGUGCCUUAUUCGUAAGGUUGCAAUAACAAGAUCCAAGCAACUGUUUAUCAAAAACACAGGUCUCCGCUAAGUCGUAAGACGAUGUAUGGGGGCUGACGCCUGCCCAGUGCCAGAAGGUUAAAGAAGUUGGUUAGCAAUUGCGAAGCUGAUAACUGAAGCCCUGGUGAACGGCGGCCGUAACAAUAACGGUCCUAAGGUAGCGAAAUUCCUUGUCGGGUAAGUUCCGACCCGCACGAAAGGCGUAAUGAUUUGGAUACUGUCUCGGAGAGGGGCUCGGUGAAAUAGACUUGUCUGUGAAGAUGCGGACUACCUGCACCAGAACAGAAAGACCCUAUGAAGCUUUACUGUAACUUGAAAUUGAAAUUGGACUUUAUUCGCGCAGUAUAGGUGGGAGGCGUUGAUUAUAAUCUUGUGGGAUUAUUGGAGCCAUCAGUGAGAUACCACUCUUGUAAUGUUAGAUUUCUAACUUUGAAUCAUUAUCUGGUCAAAGAACAGUUUCAGGCGGGCAGUUUGACUGGGGCGGUCGCCUCCUAAACGGUAACGGAGGCGUACAAAGGUUUCCUCUGAACGGUUAGAAAUCGUAUCUAGAGUGUAAAGGCAUAAGGAAGCUUGACUGUGAGACCUACAAGUCGAGCAGGGACGAAAGUCGGUCUUAGUGAUCUGACGGUACUGAGUGGAAAGGCCGUCACUCAACGGAUAAAAGUUACUCUAGGAUAACAGGCUGAUCUCCCCCAAGAGUUCACAUCGACGGGGAGGUUUGGCACCUCGAUGUCGGCUCAUUGCAUCCUGGGGCGGUAGUACGUCCCAAGGGUUGGGCUGUUUGCCCAUGAAAGCGGUACGCGAGCUGGGUUCAGAACGUCGUGAGACAGUUCGGUCCAUAUCCGGUGUAGGCGUUAGAAUAUUGAGAGGAGCCUUCUUUAGUACGAGAGGACCGAGAAGGACAUACCUCUGGUGUACCAGUUAUCGUGCCAACGGUAAACGCUGGGUAGCUAUGUAUGGAGUGGAUAACCGCUGAAAGCAUCUAAGUGGGAAGCCCACCUCAAGAUAAGUAUUCUCAUG
rnacentral:rRNA from 1 species